CCUGUCCUGGAGGGGGGCUCUGGAGGCCUGGGGGCUGCGAGCGGGAGGCCUGACGGAGGCCUCAGCCUGGUGGGCUGUGAGAACAUCCUCUGUGAACUCAGAGGUUUUUCUCCAAAGAACCCCCAGGUUGGGUGCCUUACAACUAGUUCAGCUGUGAAAUAUGAUGUUUUAGCAAACAGAAGCCCCACUCCCCGGUGUGAGGUUUGACAAGAACCACAGCACAGAAGAUGUCUAAGGACGUUAACGAGGUGUCAGGAGAAUGAAAACCCAGGAGGCCACCUGGGGUGUCAGACAAGUUGAAUUUCUAGGGGCUUCCUGUUGUUGGUUUGGUCGUGUGCUAGUCAUGGGUGAGAAGACGGGGCAAGAGGGGCGACCCGGCCAUCAGGACACCCAUGGGGAGACCCCCCCGCAGAACUCAGCUCGCUCUCCUCAUGCUGUGCCUCCAGAAGGUUCGGCAGUGUGUUUCAACGUCUGCGUGUGGGUGCCGGCAGCUUCCGGGGGCCAAGCCGCCCCCAGGGCUGGGCUCCAGUGCCCUUGAGAGGCCCUGCUUCUGUUCCCUCUGUGGGCACAGUCCCACCUGGCGGGACCCCAGGGCAAUGCCGCGUGGGCUGGCGGCUCUUUGGGGAGAUGCGGCUUUCACGUGCUUCACGCUCUGCGAGGCUGUUUCCCAGGCCAGGGCUUGUGAGGAGGGCCAGGCGGGGAACUUGGGGAGUGACUACUCUGGGCCUCGCUCCAGGCCGUCUGCUCGCGCAGGGCCUCACUGGCGGCAAUGGGGUCCUGCUCGGCCCAAGCGGUCUGGAUCGGCCCGGUGGGGGGUGCAACACCGAGGGCCGACGGCAAGACGGAAAGGCGCCCUGGAGCCCUGGCAGGCCUUUGGAGGCAAGCGUGACGGAGGCGCGUGGAGUCAAUGCGGGCUGCGCCGUCCCUGCUUGUUUCUCAGUGACCUGACAUCCAUCUGGGACACACUGCGGUUGUCUCCUUACCAUGGAGAGCAGGCUCGUCUUAAGGAAGAAACAGCCAGCUAGGUCAGAAAAAGAAGGGUCACAGAUCAGCUGUUUUGAAAUGAAAGCAAUUAUUUUAGGAAGAUCCCCCACCCUAAAAAUGUCCUUGCUCAGCUGUCCGCGAUGGCAGGGCCUCCGGGUCUGGGCCUGACGGGGAUCCGGGCUGUCACGGACAGCCUUCUGCUCCCAGAAGAGCCUCAGCUCCUCAGCCAAGGACGUAGGAGGGCAUAGGCCAUGGGGCGAGUGGGGCGAUGGCAGCUGGGCCCGGGGUUAACACCCUCCAGCAGAUGCUGCCCAGGUUUCCUGCUCUAGCCCAGCCCUGAGCACCGUCCGAGGUUCCACUGGUGGCCCAGCCACAGGGAACAGUGGAGAUGGUGACGGUGGUGGUGACAGAGGGAACAGCGGUGGUGACAGGGGACAGUGGUGGUGACAGAGGGGACAGUGGUGAUGAUGGGGGGACGGUGGUGACAACUAACUCUUCCACAGUCCUUACUGGAGGCCAGUGCUAUGUUAAGGACUCCACGUAUUAGACCACGUACUGUCCACCAUGAGGCCACGUGGUGGUGCUGCGGUUACUCCCACUUUACAGAUGAGGACACGGAGGCACAGGGAGGUAGUGGCCUCCCCAGGGUCACGGGGAAGGACUCUGGCAAGCUGGCCCGAGUCCGUCCUCUUAAGUGCUCUCUCCUCCAGUGGAGUGCCGGCAGGUUCUGCUCCCAGCCAGGCCAGUGACACGCUUCCUCCUGAGAUGGGACAAUCACCCCCCAUCCCCCAUGAGGCAGGGCUCCGCCAGGCCCUCGUUCUCAGCGGCUCAUCUCGUCUUCUCCCUUCCAGCAGCUGCCUGGCCUGAGACACGAGACAUGGCAUCAGGUGGCCAGGGUUCUGGCAUCAGGGCCCACGCCCCUCUCACACCUGUGCACUCUGGGCACUGGCUCUGGAGAGAUCCGUGGUCUCUGACCUGUGGCUCGGCCUGUGAGGACCCCUUGACCAGCAGCUGUGUUUCCAUGGCAGAGGUCCCUGGCUGGGCUCCAGUGAGAGGAAGUGCAAGCAGGCCCCGAGCGGGGGAGGGGCACGUGCUGCCUGGACAAGUAAACCUUGAGUGGCACUGAGAAAAGACAGAAUGCCAAGUCCUACAGCUGGUGAGACCAAGGGACCGUGCUGGGGAGCUCUCGUUGGGCUGUCCUGGGGAGGAAGGGGCCGGCAGGAGGAGAGCUGGGGCUGGUGGUGUAGGACAAAUCCCGGAAGACCACUGAGGAUCUGAGGACCCCCACCUGGAGCACCCCUGCCACCCCUCCCACCAGCCGGUGGUCGCUCAGCUCAGCCCACUGACGGUGCUGGACGGUCUCCUGUCCCCCUUCAUGCCACUACCCUGCCCCUCUGGCCGGGCUUGCCAGCCCUGGUGACUCUGCUGGUGCCCGGGGCAGGCUGGGCCAAGGAUGGGCACUGGGUAGGCCAGGCCGAGGCCCCAGUGCCCGCGGCAGAAAGCAAGGGCUUUAGGGACAAAGUCCAGAGACCUAGGGAGGAGGCUCCAGCCCUGUUUUGCCAUAGCCGGGGGUCACUCCGUAGCUCUUCCACGGCCCCGCUAGGCAGCCUGUGGGCAGCUCGCAGUGGGCAGCUGCCCUCAGCCCCUGCUGCCUGGGGCCGGUCUGUCUAGAACCCGUGUGUGUAGGGUUGGCCUUUGAAGGGGACACUUAGAGGAGAGAGCGCUGGGUCAGGAAGGAGUCAGUACAUGGGCCGCACACAGGCCCCCUGGGCUGAUUAGCCCCUCCUAAGGAUACCUGCGUUUUUGUCAGAGGCUCUGGUGGAGAGCAGGUGAGUUGGCUGAGCUGGGAGGGAUGGUCUGUGGGGGGCCAGUGGGGACCCCCAAACAACCACCCUUUAAAUUCCAAAUCGAAGUCCUGUCUGCAGAUCCCUUUGUUCCGCUUUGUGCAGAACAGUUUUCUGAAAAUGGCUUCCAACUCCACCUAGAAAGUGCACAACGCACAGCCUGGCUGGGGCAGAGGCUGAGAGAAGGCAGGGCGGGGGCCCCUUCCUCACCUGUUCUCCCCAACUCAGCUGUGCAGCGUGGGUCUGCGCACCCUCCACGCCCUCUGGGGGCCCUCCCUGCCCCAGCAAACACUCACUGUCCCAUCCAGCUCCAGCCCAGACUGCUCCUCCUGUGAAUGCCUGGGAAUGACCCCAGAAGCCCCCCACCUCCCCACAAUAUGUAAUGCCCUUCAGAAGGUCCCCCUCUGUGCACGCCAGCACCCAGCACCUCUGCCCAGGCUGCCCGCUGGGGCCCCUUCUCCCUGGGUGGCUGCCUGCUCACUCAGGCAUCCCCUCCAGGGCACCUUUUCCAGAGGCCUCCAUCCACGAAGAGCCCCUGGAAACACAGGGACAUGCUUGCACCUGGAAUGUCCCCAGCAGUCCUGCAGACUCAAACCCCAGCAACCUGGUCCACAGUGGUGUCCCCAGUGCCCAGAAGGCAUAUGGGGCACGCUUGGCACCUGGGCUGAGCAGGUAGGCAGCCUCUGGCCAUUCCCCCUCCCAGUGCCAGCAGGGGUGGCCUGACAUUUCUGCUGGCUGGCAUUUCUGGCCCCAAGUCAGCCCUACCUAGCUCUGGAGUGGCAGGGCUGCAAAGGCCUGUGGGGGCCUCACAGUGACAGGGAGGGAGCCUGCUGACCCUGAAGGGGUGGUCCUGUGGAGGUGCCUGAAGCCUCCCCAUGGAGUGGAGUCCCUGUAGGUGUCUGCUGGAACCCCAGCCAUACAGAGAACAGGUGCUCCCUAGGGCUCCCUGGGCCUUGAUCCUUAUAGCCCUGUAAAACUGGGGGCGGCGAGGCGCUGCCAGCUCCAGGCGGGCUCCCUGACUCCGCCCGGGCUCCCCUCUGCCUGCUGCCCGCACCGCGCGCCGCCGCCGGAGGGCGAGGAGGAGCGGCGCCACUGCGGCC
ensembl:lncRNA